rnacentral:rRNA from 1 species
UACGUAGGUGGCAAGCGUUGUCCGGAUUCACUGGGCGUAAAGCGCGCGCAGGCGGUCUUCUACGUCUGGGGUGAAAACCCGGGGCUCAACCCCGGGACUGCCUUGGAUACGGGAAGACUUGAGGAUCGGAGAGGCAAGGGGAAUUCCACGUGUAGCGGUGAAAUGCGCAGAUAUCAGGAAGAACACCCGUGGCGAAAGCGGCUCUCUGGAACGGUACUGACGCUGAGACGCGAAAGCGUGGGGAGCAAACAGG